rnacentral:rRNA from 1 species
UGAAGUUAAAGGCUGUGGNUUAACCAUAGUACGCUUUGGAAACUGUUUAACUUGAGUGCAGAAGGGGAGAGUGGAAUUCCAUGUGUAGCGGUGAAAUGCGUAGAUAUAUGGAGGANCACCGGUGGCGAAAGCGGCUCUCUGGUCUGCAACUGACGCUGAGGCUCGAAAGCGUGGGGAGCGAACAGGAUUAGAUACCCUGGUAGUNCACGCCGUAAACGAUGAGUGCUAGGUGUUAGGCCCUUUCCGGGGCUUAGUGCCGCAGCUAACGCAUUAAGCACUCCGCCUGGGGAGUACGACCGCAAGGUUGAAACUCAAAGGAAUUGACGGGGGCCCGCACAAGCGGUGGAGCAUGUGGUUUAAUUCGAAGCAACGCGAAGAACCUUACCAGGUCUUGACAUCCCGAUGCCCGCUCUAGAGAUAGAGUUUUACUUCGGUACAUCGGUGACAGGUGGUGCAUGGUUGUCGUCAGCUCGUGUCGUGAGAUGUUGGGUUAAGUCCCGCAACGAGCGCAACCCUUAUUGUUAGUUGCCAUCAUUCAGUUGGGCACUCUAGCGAGACUGCCGGUAAUAAACCGGAGGAAGGUGGGGAUGACGUCAAAUCAUCAUGCCCCUUAUGACCUGGGCUACACACGUGCUACAAUGGCCGGUACAACGAGUCGCAAGUCGGUGACGGCAAGCUAAUCUCUUAAAGCCAGUCUCAGUUCGGAUUGUAGGCUGCAACUCGCCUACAUGAAGUCGGAAUCGCUAGUAAUCGCGGAUCAGCACGCCGCGGUGAAUACGUUCCCGGGCCUUGUACACACCGCCCGUCACACCACGAGAGUUUGUAACACCCGAAGUCGGUGAGGUAACCUUUUA